AUGGAUGACAAGAUCGGAAUCUAUAGCUACAAUGAUGCCAUGAAAAUUGUUCAUAUAUGGGUGUUACAGAACUAUGAAAGCAAGGUUUGGGACUACAAGUGCCGGCUCGAAAUGCUAGUUGAAAAAAUCAGGGACCGUUCGGGAAGGUGCAAGGAUUAUUGGGAUGCCAGCAUUGUGUCUGUGGAUGGUGACGUCUUCUUGCUGCUCAAUCUUGGCGGAUGGCUGUUGUAUGUUGACACCGAUGGCGAACUUGUUGACAGCUUCCAUCAUGAUGGCCAAUACUUAUAUCCUUGGAAAUGUCGGCUCAAACAAACUCUUGUUCCACAUACCUUCUUCGUGGCACUAGAAAGCUAUGUUGUGAAUGUUGUCCAGAUGAUGCCAACAAAGGACCCGGAACAGAUGAGGAAAAUUGCCUUAUGUCCAGGGCAACGUGACAAGAGGGUGUGGGCUUCAAGGUCGAUCAUGAGUGGAGAAGAUCACGACGACUCCUUCUCCUUGUCUUUGAAGACGACAGUACAGGAGUCAUGUCUGGGCCAGACUUUUCUUGAUCCCUUCGGAACCGCCUCCUGGCCCUUGGAAAAUGAUCGUUGA
rnacentral:rRNA from 1 species